UCCAUGUCUGAAGGUGGGCACAGCUAGUCAGACUCAGGGAAGGAAAGUCCAUGUAUGAAGGAGGGCACAGCUAGUCAGACUCAGGGAAGGAAAGUCCAUGUAUGAAGGAGGGCACAGCUAGUCAGACUCAGGGAAGGAAGGUCCAUGUCUGAAGGAGGGCACAGCUAGUCAGACUCAGGGAAGGAAAGUCCAUGUAUGAAGGAGGGCACAGCUAGUCAGACUCAGGGAAGGAAAGUCCAUGUAUGAAGGAGGGCAGAGCUUGUCAGACUCAGGGAAGGAAAGUCCAUGUCUGAAGGAGGGCAGAGCUAGUCAGACUCAGGGAAGGAAGGUCCAUGUCUGAAGGAGGGCACAGCUAGUCAGACUCAGGGAAGGAAGGUCCAUGUCUGAAGGAGGGCACAGCUAGUCAGACUCAGGGAAGGAAAGUCCAUGUAUGAAGGAGGGCACAGCUAGUCAGACUCAGGGAAGGAAAGUCCAUGUAUGAAGGAGGGCACAGCUAGUCAGACUCAGGGAAGGAAGGUCCAUGUCUGAAGGAGGGCACAGCUAGUCAGACUCAGGGAAGGAAAGUCCAUGUAUGAAGGAGGGCACAGCUAGUCAGACUCAGGGAAGGAAAGUCCAUGUAUGAAGGAGGGCACAGCUAGUCAGACUCAGGGAAGGAAGGUCCAUGUCUGAAGGAGGGCACAGCUAGUCAGACUCAGGGAAGGAAAGUCCAUGUAUGAAGGAGGGCACAGCUAGUCAGACUCAGGGAAGGAAAGUCCAUGUAUGAAGGAGGGCACAGCUAGUCAGACUCAGGGAAGGAAGGUCCAUGUCUGAAGGAGGGCACAGCUAGUCAGACUCAGGGAAGGAAAGUCCAUGUAUGAAGGAGGGCACAGCUAGUCAGACUCAGGGAAGGAAAGUCCAUGUAUGAAGGAGGGCACAGCUAGUCAGACUCAGGGAAGGAAGGUCCAUGUCUGAAGGAGGGCACAGCUAGUCAGACUCAGGGAAGGAAAGUCCAUGUAUGAAGGAGGGCACAGCUAGUCAGACUCAGGGAAGGAAAGUCCAUGUAUGAAGGAGGGCACAGCUAGUCAGACUCAGGGAAGGAAGGUCCAUGUCUGAAGGAGGGCACAGCUAGUCAGACUCAGGGAAGGAAAGUCCAUGUAUGAAGGAGGGCACAGCUAGUCAGACUCAGGGAAGGAAAGUCCAUGUAUGAAGGAGGGCACAGCUAGUCAGACUCAGGGAAGGAAGGUCCAUGUCUGAAGGUGGGCACAGCUAGUCAGACUCAGGGAAGGAAAGUCCAUGUAUGAAGGAGGGCACAGCUAGUCAGACUCAGG